rnacentral:rRNA from 1 species
GAGACACGGCCCAAACUCCUACGGGAGGCAGCAGUAGGGAAUCUUCGGCAAUGGACGAAAGUCUGACCGAGCAACGCCGCGUGAGUGAAGAAGGUUUUCGGAUCGUAAAACUCUGUUGUUAGAGAAGAACAAGGAUGAGAGUAACUGUUCAUCCCUUGACGGUAUCUAACCAGAAAGCCACGGCUAACUACGUGCCAGCAGCCGCGGUAAUACGUAGGUGGCAAGCGUUGUCCGGAUUUAUUGGGCGUAAAGCGAGCGCAGGCGGUUUCUUAAGUCUGAUGUGAAAGCCCCCGGCUCAACCGGGGAGGGUCAUUGGAAACUGGGAGACUUGAGUGCAGAAGAGGAGAGUGGAAUUCCAUGUGUAGCGGUGAAAUGCGUAGAUAUAUGGAGGAACACCAGUGGCGAAGGCGGCUCUCUGGUCUGUAACUGACGCUGAGGCUCGAAAGCGUGGGGAGCAAACAGGAUUAGAUACCCUGGUAGUCCACGCCGUAAACGAUGAGUGCUAAGUGUUGGAGGGUUUCCGCCCUUCAGUGCUGCAGCUAACGCAUUAAGCACUCCGCCUGGGGAGUACGACCGCAAGGUUGAAACUCAAAGGAAUUGACGGGGGCCCGCACAAGCGGUGGAGCAUGUGGUUUAAUUCGAAGCAACGCGAAGAACCUUACCAGGUCUUGACAUCCUUUGACCACUCUAGAGAUAGAGCUUCCCCUUCGGGGGCAAAGUGACAGGUGGUGCAUGGUUGUCGUCAGCUCGUGUCGUGAGAUGUUGGGUUAAGUCCCGCAACGAGCGCAACCCUUAUUGUUAGUUGCCAUCAUUUAGUUGGGCACUCUAGCAAGACUGCCGGUGACAAACCGGAGGAAGGUGGUGAUGACGUCAAAUCAUCAUGCCCCUUAUGACCUGGGCUACACACGUGCUACAAUGGGAAGUACAACGAGUCGCAAAGUCGCGAGGCUAAGCUAAUCUCUUAAAGCUUCUCUCAGUUCGGAUUGUAGGCUGCAACUCGCCUACAUGAAGCCGGAAUCGCUAGUAAUCGCGGAUCAGCACGCCGCGGUGAAUACGUUCCCGGGCCUUGUACACACCGCCCGUCACACCACGAGA